CCUACGGGAGACAGCAGUAGGGAAUCUUCCACAAUGGGCGAAAGCCUGAUGGAGCAACGCCGCGUGGGUGAAGAAGGUCUUCGGAUCGUAAAACCCUGUUGUUAGAGAAGAAAGUGCGUGAGAGUAACUGUUCACGUUUCGACGGUAUCUAACCAGUAAGCUACGGCUAACUACGGGCCAGCAGCCGUGGGAAUACGUAGGUGGCAAGCGUUAUCCGGUGUUAUUGGGCGUAAAGGGAACGCAGGCGGUCUUUUAAGUCUGAUGUGAAAGGCUUCGGCUUAACCGGAGUAGUGCAUUGGAAACUGGGAGACUUGAGUGCAGGAGAGGAGAGUGGAACCCGAUGUGUAGCGGUGAAAUGCGUAGAUAUAUGGAAGAACACCAGUGGCGAAAGCGGCUCUCCGGUCUGUAACUGACGCUGAGGUUCGAAAGCGUGGGUAGCAAACAGGAUUAGAUACCCCUGUAGUC
rnacentral:rRNA from 1 species